rnacentral:tRNA from 1 species
GGUUAUGGCUCAGUGGUAGAGAGCUCGCCUCGCAUGUGCAAGGUCCUGGGUUCAAUCCUCAGCACCA